rnacentral:rRNA from 1 species
CACUGGGACUGAGACACGGCCCAGACUCCUACGGGAGGCAGCAGUGGGGAAUAUUGCACAAUGGGCGAAAGCCUGAUGCAGCGACGCCGCGUGAGGGAUGACGGCCUUCGGGUUGUAAACCUCUUUCAGCAGGGAAGAAGCGCAAGUGACGGUACCUGCAGAAGAAGCGCCGGCUAACUACGUGCCAGCAGCCGCGGUAAUACGUAGGGCGCAAGCGUUGUCCGGAAUUAUUGGGCGUAAAGAGCUCGUAGGCGGCUUGUCACGUCGGAUGUGAAAGCCCGGGGCUUAACCCCGGGUCUGCAUUCGAUACGGGCUAGCUAGAGUGUGGUAGGGGAGAUCGGAAUUCCUGGUGUAGCGGUGAAAUGCGCAGAUAUCAGGAGGAACACCGGUGGCGAAGGCGGAUCUCUGGGCCAUUACUGACGCUGAGGAGCGAAAGCGUGGGGAGCGAACAGGAUUAGAUACCCUGGUAGUCCACGCCGUAAACGUUGGGAACUAGGUGUUGGCGACAUUCCACGUCGUCGGUGCCGCAGCAAACGCAUUAAUUCCCCCCG